rnacentral:rRNA from 1 species
UACGAAGGGGGCUAGCGUUGUUCGGAGUUACUGGGCGUAAAGGGCGCGUAGGCGGCGCACCAAGUCAGGCGUGAAAGCCCUGGGCUCAACCCGGGAAUUGCGCUUGAGACUGGUGUGCUUGAGUACGGGAGAGGAUAGUGGAAUUCCCAGUGUAGAGGUGAAAUUCGUAGAUAUUGGGAAGAACACCGGUGGCGAAGGCGGCUAUCUGGACCGUAACUGACGCUGAGGCGGCGAAAGCGUGGGGAGCAAACAGG